CAUUGGACAAUGGGCGAAAGCCUGAUCCAGCAAUACCGCGUGUGUGAAGAAGGCCUUAGGGUUGUAAAGCACUUUCAAUUGGGAGGAAAACCUACCGGUCAAUACCCGGUAGCUUGACAUUACCUUUAGAAGAAGCACCGGCUAACUCCGUGCCAGCAGCCGCGGUAAUACGGAGGGUGCGAGCGUUAAUCGGAAUUACUGGGCGUAAAGCGUGCGUAGGCGGUUCGUUAAGUCAGAUGUGAAAGCCCUGGGCUCAACCUGGGAACGGCAUUUGAAACUGGCGGACUAGAGUUUAGUAGAGGGGAGUGGAAUUUCAGGUGUAGCGGUGAAAUGCGUAGAUAUCUGAAGGAACACCAGUGGCGAAGGCGACUCCCUGGACUAGAACUGACGCUGAGGUACGAAA
rnacentral:rRNA from 1 species